AUGUCUCAGUUGUACUCGAACAAGAGCACACGGAGGGAGCUCUUCUACGCCACCCCGGCAACAGGAACAAGGAAAAUCCAGUCCACGGUGCCACCAAUGAACAAGGCACAGAGCAUGAGGUGUUUGCACCAAUUGCUUUCUUCACACCACGGCCAUGGCUUUGAUCGUCGAUGGACGUCACCAAUCACCUAUUCUAACUCUGAUCGUUGGGACCGGCAUCCUCGCGCCAAGGCGCGCUGCCGAUCUAGUCGUGUAUGGCUGUGGGACGCGUGGGGCGGCAGCAGCCCUGACGGCUGGGAGUCAGUGCCGCAGGAGAGCAGCAAAAGACUGAUCCGGGACCUACAAAUCCGAGGACAAUGUGGAGACGCUGGCGCCUUGUUUUUCCCUUGA
rnacentral:rRNA from 1 species